CCAGAGGGAAGGCUGUGUGUCCAGCGCCAGCAGGCACAGCGUGGGGACACAUAGGUGUUCAGGCCAUCUGAACGUCCUUGUGACCAGCUCCCCUUUCCUGCUAUCAGCCACCUUCACAGGAUGCCGGCCACAGUGGGCAUGGAAAUGACCCACGGCCUCAGCUCAGGAGCAGGGGCCCCUCACGGGAGGACCGCCAUGCCACCCCCUCAUGCUGUUUCCACCCUGAGGACCCUGACUCUGCCAGCGUCUGGAGGAGAGAGAGAUACCACCAUUUCUGUGAAAAGGGCCUGUGGGUUUUAAUUGACCGCAAGCUCAGAGUGAGCCAACGGGUGACCUGAUUGCUAAAAUAGCCCAGGAGGAGGGCGGAAGCUUCCAGAACAGGGAGGGGGUGGCUAAGAUCUCAGCUGGAAGGAAGUGAGGGCACCAUUCUUGGAACCUGCCCAAAUCUAUAGCUCCAGAGAGCAGGGAGGCCCUUCUCUGGAAACUCUGCCUUAGUCCAGCCCCCAUGGGUGACCUUGGGGCGGGACAGGAGGGGCGGCACCAGAGGCAAAGCUGAGUGGCUCGUGGAGCACAGUAACCCCGGGGGUGAGCGCCGGCCAGCACCCCUGGGCCCUCGCCCCACAGGCUAGUUAGAAGGGCCCAGGGAGGCCAGGUGGGUCGGGCGCUCCAGUCCCGUGUGGGGAGGCCGAGAGCCCGCCUGAGCCCGGAAUGAGAGGGGGACAAAGGCCAGCUGUCCUCCAGCCUUCCUGCUGCACUCAGCGGCCCUGAAAGAAAUGCCAGGAACAAAGAGGACGACUUCUCUCACACAGCAGAUAAUGAACGCUCUGACUCGCAGCCCCCGAGAGCAGCAAAUCCCAGGGUCCCCGGCCAGGAAAUUUACAGCCUGCAUUGACCCUUGGGAGGGCCCCGGCAGGGCAGUGCCCCCUUGCUGGCUCCUCCGUGGCCAGAGCCGGCUGGGGCCUCUUGAAGGCAGAGUGAGUGUCCAGUUCCCCUGCAUCCACUCCAGGGUGGCUGAUUCAGGACCGAGCGUCCACUCCAAGCUGAGCAGGUGUCACCAUGGGACCCCCGACCCCAUCGCCUCCCACUCUGGGGACCGGGACUGUCUCUGUCUCUUUCUGAGCCAUACGACUUUGGGCAGGUCCCUCAGGGUUCUGUGCACCCACUCUGUUUUCUUCUUCACUCUUCUGCUUCCCUCUGACGGCCACUGGGGUCAGAGAGGAUACGAGAGCCCUGCUGUGGACGGUGACCUGCUCUCCCUGUAUCCGAUACAAUCGUCCCAAGAGGGCUGCAGCUGUGGUGUCAACGAGGGGGUCACAGGGAAGAGAGGUGGGCACAGGCCACACCUGCCCGGGUCCCUGGGGUUUUCAAAUAAUAUUGGCUGACAUUCUCUGGGCCUCCCCUGGGCAGCAGACAUUGCGCUGAGCAGCUCAGCCGGUCAUCUCUCUCGAUCCCCUCAGUGACUGUGAGGAGGAAGCACUGCCGUCCUCAGCUUUGCAGAUGAGGGAACCGAAGCAUGGAGCAGUCAGCUACCUCGCUCAGGGUCACACAGCUGGUAGAAGGCGGGGCUGGCACCUGGACCUCUGGCCUCUGGAGCCCAUGCUCUUAGCCACUGAACAGAUGGGGGGCCGGAACAGGCAGUUUGGGGUCUUUCUGUCCACUAUCCAGGAACCUCCAAGGACCACAGCUCCUUGGUGCCGAUCCUCUUUUCUAGACUUGUGCACUGCGAGCGGAAAGGAAUGCCCUCUCAAUCUCUGUCUCUGUCUGUCUGUCUGUCUGUCUCUCUCUCUCUCACACCCCUAGGGCAUACGGGACACUGCAGAACCCCAGCCACAGCAGGUGCUGUUACAGCAGGGACACUGGGUAGCCCUCAAAGCCCCUGGGAGUCUCCAAAGCUGUGAUUCCAAGAGUCAUCCCGGGGCCUUGUCCACGGCAGCCAAACUCCCAUCUUGGUCGAGCUCCUCUGCCCAGCCUGGGGGUCUUGGGAGUAGGCUGAAAAGAAGUACCUCAGAGGCUCCAAACGAUGCCCACCUCCAGCCCAGACACUGGGCACCAGCGGGCUCCUCCUCCCCAACGCCCAGGCCCUUAUCAGGAAAGCAAUUUGGGUUGGGGGGGAGGGGAAGUCCGAGGCCCCAGGCUCCGGCAAGGUGGGAAGGAGAGAUAGGGAAGUGGGGAGGGGGCCCCGGGGCCCUGCUGGGAGGGCCUGAGGAUGGAAGGGAUGCCCAGAGCCAGCGCUGUCCUUGCUGGCCUGGCCUCUUGACAUGGUUCCAGAGCUGCCUUCCCUCCUUGCCAGGCAAGGCGCCCGCACCUUUAAUUAGCAAGCAGCAGCCUCUCCCCGAUUCAUCUCAGUCACUGUUUAAUUAGCCGCGCACAAGGCACCCCUACCCCCCAGCUCUGGGUUGAGCAGCCUGCCUCUCUCACGGAGGCUGCCACCACCUCAUGGUGUCCCUUGUCACACACACCCCCCUCCUCGUACUUAUUCUGCUCCCCAGAAGGGGGGAUGGGGCGGGCACGCCUGGCUGAAACCUCAAGGAGAUUCUGGGCACUGACGCUUGUAUUCAGAGCAUCCAGCAAACAUUAUUAGGGCUUCGAGUCUGCGCCAGGCUGGCGCUGGGCAGAACCUAGGCUGGAUGGGGGCAGCCGGCCUCGGUCCCGUCCAGCUGCUCCACAGCGGCUUUACCCUUUGGGAGGUGCCGGGCCACCUCUUCAGCUGGACCCAGGGUGUCGGGAAAAGCCUAAUUAUCCUCCCUGUUCCUCCCCCUGCCCCCAUCCAGAAAGGAACCACCAUUUCUUCCUUUUCCUCCCCCGCCCCAGAGCCAGCAAGCCCCCUGAGAAGGCUGCAUCCCCUGGAACAGAGAAGACCCUUCCUUCGAGCCCUGCCUCCACAGCGGUCAGGUCCCAGAGACCAAGGCUGGGGCUCUAUGCAAAGGGAGCGGGUGAGGGGUCUCAGCCCCGCUCUGGGGUGUUAGGGGCCCAGGAGAGAGCCCACAGCAUGUGGCUGAGCCAGCUGCCCUCUGUCUCCCCAAAGCAGGGUGGGGCCAGGGGUGCCACCACCUGGGGCGGGCUACCACCUGGGGCGGCAGCUGGAGGCUCAGCUCCCACCCCACCCUGCCCCCAGUCCAUCCUGUGGCUUCGGGCACAUCGGCUGCUCUGGGGCCUCAGUCCUGCCUACAGAAGGGUGCUGGGCCCCUCCUCUGAUGUGCACUAAGGACACGGAAGGACCAGUGCUGUAUCUGGUUCUGACCAGCCACCAAACUGUGCCGUGCCUCAGUUUCCCCAUAGUGUCUACCUCACAGGCUGUCCUGAGGAUUAAAUGAUUUACAAUGUUUAUUUAUUUAUUUUUUAAUUUUUUUUAAUGUUUUAUUUAUUUUUAAUACAGAGAGAGACAGAGCAUGAGAGGAGGAGGGGCAGAGAGAGAAGGAGACACAGAACCAGAAGCAGGCUCCAGGCUCUGAGCUGGCUGUCAGCACAGAGCCCGAUGCGGGGCUCGAACCCACGAAUGUGAGAUCCGACCUGAGCCCGAGUCGGAGGCCUAACCGACUGAGCCACCCAGGUGCCCCAUGAUUUACAAUGUUUAAUGCACUCAGAAUGGUGACCGGCAGAGGGAGGAAACAUUGGUUGUUUUUGCCAUUAUUUCCCCUCUUUUUACCGAUCAAUAUUUAUUGCCAGGUAUGAGGGACUCGGUGGGGAGAAAUAUGGCAAUCUCCCUGCCUUCCAGAGUUUUCCUUCUGGUGGGGGAGGUGGAUGAAAACAAGUAAAUAAAGGAAAAGUACAAUUUCAUCUGUACAAAGUCUGCAGUUUAAGUUAAUAGUAAUGUGCCAGCGGUAACAUCUUGGUUUUGACGGACGUACCACGGUCAAGGUGGGUGAUGCGGCCACGUGAAAAAAAUGGAUGAAAUGUGUACAGCAACCCUUUGUACUGUCUUUGCAGCUUUUCUGUGAAUCUAAAAUUAUUC
ensembl:lncRNA